GCUUCGCUGAGAGAGCGAAACAGAAGACAGUAUUAAAUUGCCGUUUAAAACGAAACGAUCUGGACUCUGAACGCUCUCUUCUUUUGUAGAGUUCUUUACCAAAUGAAAUAACUGAAAUAAAUUUCGUACUUUCCGCCGCCAACAAGAAUUGCACACACGAUCUGAUAAGUGAGACAAUUUAUUUAUAACAAUGCCAAUGGCGACAGCGAAGCACACAUUAUAUAAAAUACUAAUAUGGUCGCAC
rnacentral:lncRNA from 1 species